GUGGUGGCUCGUAAAUAUCAACACUCGAACUACAAAUGGCAAUAAUAGCUAUGCACUCGCUGCCUAAUUUUCAAGGAAAAUUAGCUUAAUCGACCGGCCCAAGGAGGUCGGACGACGAGUAUCCCGAGUGAUGGCGUCGCCCUUUUGCCGUUGCUCUUACGGGGUAUCAUCUUUAAGGGGAUAGUCCGGUGGGAGUCCUGACCAUCGGGCGAAAUCAAAAGGACUGCGGCGUAGGCAAGGCUGUCUGUGGCCAUCCCGCGCAAGAGGAUUAAUCGCAGAAUAAACGUGUAGAAAGCUUUCGGGUUCCAGGUUUGGACGCGGGUUCGACUCCCGCCGCCUCCACAA
rnacentral:tmRNA from 1 species